UACGUAGGGUGCAAGCGUUAAUCGGAAUUACUGGGCGUAAAGCGUGCGCAGGCGGUUCGGCAAGAAGGAUGUGAAAUCCCAGGGCUUAACCCUGGAACUGCAUUCUUAACUGCCGGGCUAGAGUACGUCAGAGGGGGGUAGAAUUCCACGUGUAGCAGUGAAAUGCGUAGAGAUGUGGAGGAAUACCGAUGGCGAAGGCAGCCCCCUGGGAUGAUACUGACGCUCAUGCACGAAAGCGUGGGGAGCAAACAGG
rnacentral:rRNA from 1 species